CAGGUGCGAGCGUCACUUAACUUACGUGCACAUUCGGAUACAAAGCACAUAUCAACUGCUAUUUCAGCACUGGCCCGCCUGCAUCGAAGUUGUAAUGAAGACGGUGAAACCUGAUCUGAGUCAAGGCCUCCUGAGUGAGCUACAGUGCCCGGGCUGCAUGGAGUACAUGCUGCCACCUAUCGAGACAUGCAUGAACGGACACAACAUCUGUUCGAAAUGCAAGCCGAAACUGAAGGAAUGUCCCGCCUGCAGGAAACCAUUGCUUAAUAUGAGGAAUUUCGCGCUGGAAAAUCUCACCAGAAAAAUAGACUAUCCUUGCACCAACCGAAAAUUUGGUUGUAAAGAAACACAUUCUGUUGAUUUCAUAAUUGACCAUCAGGUUACAUGUGUUUAUGCUCCAUUUACAUGCCCUUUUCUUAAACACAAUAAAUGUGCUUGGAUUGAUAUUCUAAAAAAUCUGAAGAACCAUUUGCUAGAAUGUCACAGUCAAGACGUGAGAGAACAAAAUGGCGAAACAAAUCUUAUAAUAAACCCAGAGAGUAAGGAAUUAAGAGGAUAUAAGGUUAUGUUUGCCUAUAAUGAAAUGUUUUAUAUAUAUAUUCAGAGAAGGGCGACUAACUACUACAUUGCUGUAACUUAUGUUGGGAAGCCUGAGAAUGCUUCCAAAUAUGGAUAUAAAAUAUCUUUCAAGAAAUCGGAAAGUAUUGAGAGCAUCACGGUUUGUCACGUGUCACGCAGUGUUAAUGAAGAGCUCAAUAAGAUCUUUGAGUCUGGAAACUGUUUUAAGCUUCCAUAUGACUUACUUAAGCGGUAUGUGACAUGUGAUGGACAAUUGAGGUACAAAUUAGAAAUUUUUGAAGUGUCACCAGUGCGUUAAACACUGUAAAAUAACGCGAAGUAACUGCAAAACCUUGAGUCCUUCUUUAGAAACUAACAGUUGCUCAGCCACUCAAGUAAUUCCCAGCAUUUCAUGGAGCCAUAAGGUUCAUCACUGUGUUCACAAGAGCCUUCCACUAGUCUCUUUCCUGCGCCAGAUGAAUCAAAUCCACAUCAUCCCAACCUUACUUUUCUUAGAUGCAUUUUAAUACUAUUCCCUCACGUAUAUCUAGGUCUUCCUAGUGGUCUCUUUCCUUCUAGUUUUCCUACCAAAACACUAUUCAAUUCUGUUCCUGCGUGCUACAUUCUGUGUCCAACUCAUCCUCCUUGACUCCCCUAUUCUGAUUACAUUUAGAGGGGAGUACAAGUUAUGAAGCUUCAAAUUAUGCAGAUUUCUCCAGGAUCCUACUAUUUUUACCCCUCUUCAAUCCAAAUUUUCGCCUCAGCUCCCUGUUCUCAAACUCCCCCAGUCUAUGUUCAUCCGUUAGUGUUUCACACCCACACAGAACUGCAGACAAAAUUAUGGUUUUGCGUGUUUCAAUUGUUAUGUUUUUACACAGCAGGCGAGAACACAAAAGCUUCCGGACUGAACGGUGACAAGCAUUACCCGAAUUUAAUCUGGUCUUUCUAUCCUCAUGAAUACAAUUUUUGAUUUGUUACUGUCGUUCUCAAAUAUCUCAACAUUGCCACAUUUCCAUGUAUAGCAAUCUGAUUGAAUA